UAUGCUGCUGCCGUGCAGAAAAUAGAUUGUGUACUAUCUCUAUUUUUUAAAAAGGGACCAAUUUAUUUCCGGGCUUGGGUUUGGCCAGUGAGUGUCAGGGAAUACUAGUUUUUUCCUUAAACAUACGUGGUUAAGAUAAAUGGUGAAUCAUGAGUCUUAUAAAGAUUAAAUGAUUGCUCAAGAAUAAUUGAAAAAGUAAAAGUGAAAUUAAUUUGUUUUAUAUAUAUAUAUAGUUUCAAAAUUUUAAAAGUAACUAGCACAUGUUUUAACCUCUCAAAAACACAAUAUAUCUACUUUAUAAAUUUUGUAGGAAUGAUUUAUGCAUCUUAACAAAUAUUCUUUGACAUUUUAGCCGAGUCUUUAUUUCUGGGAUCCGAGUUUUCAGUUUGGACAUGACGCAGGCAAAACUCGGGGGACAGAGAGGGAGCUCUGACCUAUGAUUGGGCCGAAUUCAAUUCAUCCUCGAGUCCAAGUAGUAGCCCAAACCAUGAUCCAUCUUCUUAGAACUUCACAGAAGAAGUUGGGACCUGCUGUCCAAGAAUCCAUUGGUAGUUUCUGAAAUCAAGAAUGAGUAAAAAAUUCGGAGCAGGAAAGCAGCCCACGGGCACUCCUUCACUAGGGUGGUCCUCCGUUGUUGCCAUCGUUUCGCUUCUUGCCGGCGCUUCAGUUGUCCACAGCAUCUACAAACCCAACCUUACACUGCCUCCAGUCGAAAGUGUUGAUGCUGCUGCCAAGGAGAAAGAGACUGGAAAAAAGUGAGUAUUUCCUCUCUUUUUUCCACACAAUACAGGUGUCUGUAUUUCACGGUAGGGAUGUGAACAAACUUUUGAAUUCUACAAGACAUUUAUAUUCUUUUACGUUUUCUGUAUUUUGCUAAAUAUGCCGUCUGUUUAAUUAAGAACACUGAUCACUUGGGCGGUCCAGGGAAUGUGGGUUUUUUUUUAGGGUUGAUUUGCUCCUCUUUACAAUGAUGAUUGGCCUAGUAAAAAUACUUCGGAAUAUUUUGGGGUGCCAUGUUAUUAUGUUUUUUGAGAUAUCAAGUUUUUAGCUUCUUUUCAA